UACAGGGGGGGCAAGCGUUGUUCGGAAUUACUGGGCGUAAAGGGCUCGUAGGCGGCCAACUAAGUCACACGUGAAAUCCCCAGGCUUAACCUGGGAACUGCGUGUGAUACUGUAUGGCUUGAAUCCGGGAGAGGGAUGCGGAAUUCCAGGUGUAGCGGUGAAAUGCGUAGAUAUCUGGAGGAACACCGGUGGCGAAGGCGGCAUCCUGGACCGGUAUUGACGCUGAUGAGCGAAAGCCAGGGGAGCAAACGGG
rnacentral:rRNA from 1 species